AACUCAUUCGGUGACAUCUAAUGAAAUUCAAACAAUACAGAGAAUAUUAUCAAGACUCGUGCACAAGAUGUCGUGCAUGAAUCGAGAAAUAUACUAUUAGUAA